rnacentral:rRNA from 1 species
GACGAAAGCUGGCCGCAUGCCUAACACCUGCAAGUCGAGCGAGCAGAACCUUUCGGGGUGAAGAUAGCGGCGGACGGGUGAGUAACACGUGGGCAACCUGCCUCAUAGAGCGGAAUAGCAUCCCGAAAGGGAGAUGAAUACCGCAUAAGAUUGCAUCUUCGCAUGAAGCAGUAAUUAUAGGAGUAAUCCGCUAUGAGAUGGGCCAGCGGCGGAUUAGCUAGUUGGGGAGGUAACGGCUCACCAAGGCGACGAUGCGUAGCCGACCUGGGAGGGUGAUCGGCCACAUGACGACGGAGACACGGCCCAGACUCCUACGGGGGGCAGCAGUGGGGAAUAUUGCACAAUGGGGGAAACCCUGAUGCAGCAAUGCCCCGUGAGUGAUGACGGCCUUCGGGUUGUAAAGCUCUGUCUUCGGGGACGAUAAUGACGGUACCCGAGGAAUAAGCCACGGCUAACUACGUGCCAGCCGCCGCCGUAA